UCCGGCGUUUGGCGGGGUCUUUGUCUCUCGCUGGCGCUGGCACAGGAGCUUGGGAUCCGUCUCCUCUUUCGCCUCCUCCACCUUGGGAGCCCCGGGCUACUCUCUCACAGCCCCUGUUGCUCUGUGCUGUGUAGGUCCUUGGGGACGCACAGUUAAGGUGCCAGGACAUCAUGGAAGCUGGGAAAUGAUUUCUUCUAGACCAUGGCUGGAGAAGUAAAGAAGGUGGGUUUUGCCUGAUUCAGGGACUAUAGAGAGAACCAAGUUCUGCUGGCCUGUCAGCUGUCUCAGGUGAGUAUGAAUUCUCUUGUGUUUUUGGCAGAUAGUUGCAGUGGCAGGACCAAGGUCAAACGAGUUAUAGGCAAGUCUACAGUAAGAUGUGGCAGUAUUCGGUUUUGAAGCCGGGACCAUGAUUGGCAAGCUUGCCACUUGGUCAAGUGGUUACCCUCUGAAGAUGUGUUCCUUGGUCUUUGCCUCCAGCUGGGUGUCACAUACUCUGAACUGGAUUCCAAAGCUUUCAUGAAAGCACUUAUGUUUGCUGUGGCAGCUGCAUUAUGUUGUGGGGGAUGUGCACGCAGAACCACCCAUUCUGUCAUGCUGCUUAUGUUACUCUCGUUUAUAUUUCACUUUUUGAAAUGAAUGUCAAGCUGGUGAUUUUUAGAUUCAAAAAUUCUAAAAUAAAUUGCUCAAAUUUACACAUUAUGUAAGCUAUUAAUAAAAUUUCUUGUAGGUGCAACAUAUUUAUUAAAAUUUUUGGUUGUAAUUUCAAGCUCACUGCAGGCAGAAAGGAAUCAUUAACAUUUAUAUUCUUUUUUUUAGUCUGUAUCUAAAUGAUGGUAUAUUUUCAUUCCAGAUAUUUACUUUAUACUUCAGUAAUGCUCAGCGUAUUUUGCAAAAUUUUUGUUGUUCUUUUAUUUCGAAACAUAAGGCUUUUUUAGCUCCUGAAAGCUAUAUUAUAGUCAUAUAGUUUUAUUAUAUUUUGUGGUAAGAAGAGCAGAAAUAUAUUGAGGACAUAAUUAAAUUCUCCUAUCUUUUUAAUGAUUAUUAAUUAAAUUCAUCUCUUUAGAGCCUGUUAUUAAUGAUUGUAAUGUAUUUUCUGUAUAAUUUUACUGCAAUUUAUUAAAUUCCAAUGACUUAAAAUGUCUGCUUUUCAUGAGUGCACGCAGUUGAAUGGUGUAGAUAUCUAAAGAGUCAUUUUUUGGCCGGGUGUGAUCACUCAUGCCUGUAUUCCCAGCACUUUGGGAGGCCGAGGAGGGUGGAUCACGAGGUCAGGAGAUCAAGACAAUCCUGACUAACAUGGUGAAACCCCGUCUCUACUAAAUACACAAAAAAUUAGCUGGGCAUAGUGGCGGGCGCCUGUAUUCACAGUAACUCGGGAGGCUGAGGCACGAGAAUGGCGUGAACCCAUUGGGCAGAGCCAAGAUCACGCCACUGCACUCCAGCCUGGGCGACAGAGCAAGACUCUGUCCUAAAAAAAAAAAAAAAAAAAAAAAAAAAAUUUUUUUCUUUUAAAUCUAUGAUGUAUUCAGGAUUUUAUGUAUUAAAAUCUCUUUUCUUAUGAUCAA